ACGGAGGGAGCUAGCGUUGUUCGGAAUUACUGGGCGUAAAGCGCACGUAGGCGGCUUUUUAAGUCAGGGGUGAAAUCCCGGGGCUCAACCCCGGAACUGCCCUUGAAACUGGGAAGCUAGAAUCUUGGAGAGGCGAGUGGAAUUCCGAGUGUAGAGGUGAAAUUCGUAGAUAUUCGGAGGAACACCAGUGGCGAAGGCGGCUCACUGGCUCGAUACUGACGCUGAGGUGCGAAAGUGUGGGGAGCAAACAGGAUUAGAUACCCUGGUAGUCCACGCCGUAAACGAUGAUAACUAGCUGUCCGGGCUCAUAGAGCUUGGGUGGCGCAGCUAACGCAUUAAGUUAUCCGCCUGGGGAGUACGGUCGCAAGAUUAAAACUCAAAGGAAUUGACGGGGGCCCGCACAAGCGGUGGAGCAUGUGGUUUAAUUCGACGCAACGCGCAGAACCUUACCAGCGUUUGACAUCCUUAUCGCGGAUUUGAGAGAUCAUUUCCUUCAGCUCGGCUGGAUAAGUGACAGGUGCUGCAUGGCUGUCGUCAGCUCGUGCCGUGAG
rnacentral:rRNA from 1 species